UGAUGUAGCUCAGGGGUAGAGCACUUCCUUGGUAAGGAAGAGGUCACGAGUUCAAAUCUCGUCAUCA
rnacentral:tRNA from 2 species